CAGAGCUGUUCCCCAAGGAGUGAUUUGAAGGUCAGCCUAGGGGAGGAAAAAGGGCCUCAGCCGUAAUUCCCAUUCAAGGAGUGUUUGCCACAGGGAAGUGCCUCCUGGUUUGGGGCAGUGAGACAAGGGUGCUGUCAUUCCUUGCCUGCUUUGCUCUGAACUGUAAAUGCCCUGGUACUCUCACAGGGAACCUCAGUUUUCAGAAAUGAGGUAGAAGCUCAGCAAAGACAGAUUCUUCCCAUGCUGCUCCUAAAUGUUCCUUGAAUGGGAAGAAUAUCAGCUAACAAAUGUUGAAGAAAUGAUGAAGCUUAAGAAAAAUAUUGUUGUGCAAUCCCCAAGCUUCGUUUAGAUGUGGUAAUUUGCAAAGCAGCUCCCAGCAGUUGACAGUUCAUCCAUAGCUGUGUGGCGUUCAGACGUUUCCUGGGAUUCCUGCCCACCUCCUAUGCAGUCGGCCGUGUUUGCCAAACCAGGAUAUGUGCUCAACUGGGAUUAACUUGGAACCACAGGCUGAGGCUGCUGCUGCUGCUGCCACCUUCUGGGAGAAGACAGACCUCAGCUAGUCUCAAUGUUCACCUGUGACUGAACAUUGGGACAGGACUGAAAUUUCUUUGUCCUAGAAAAUAAAAGAGAUAUCCUUUUACUCAGCAAACAAAACACUGGUAAGAAACAGCAAUAUCCCCUCAGGAGAAUGCAGCAACAAGGUGCCGCCUUGGAAGCAGAGUGACCAGACUCUUACCAGACACCGAACCUGCCAGGGCCUUGAUAUUGAACUUGCAGCCUCCCGAACUGUGAGAAAUAAAUUUCUGUUCUUAUAAAUUUCCCAAUAUUUUGUUAUAGCUGCACGAACAGACUAAAACAUCCUUAAUUAUUGUAACAACCAUGAAACCCCUUCCUAAUAAUUAAAAACACAUACUUUUUAUCUUCAGCCAACUGGUAUGUUCCUUUGCCUGAAAGUAAAUAAACUCAGCUGUGUUUGUUUUGCUUUUAA